rnacentral:rRNA from 1 species
UACGUAGGGUGCAAGCGUUGUCCGGAAUUAUUGGGCGUAAAGAGCUCGUAGGCGGUUUGUCGCGUCGAAUGUGAAAACCCGGGGCUCAACCCCGGGCCUGCAUUCGAUACGGGCAGACUAGAGUUCGGUAGGGGGAGUCUGGAAUUCCUGGUGUAGCGGGUGAAAAUGCGCAGAUAUCAGGAGGAACACCGGUGGCGAAGGCGGGACUCUGGGCCGAUGACUGACGCUGGAGGAGCGAAAGCGUGGGGAGCGAACAGG